UAAGUCUUUGUGUUCUACUUCUAACAGUGACAAGUAUUUCUCAUGCAGGUUAUUGGAAUAUUAUCCAGAGAUAUUGACAAUUGCGGACAUUUUUGGCUGCCAAAACUUCAUCUACAAUGUCAGCAUCAUGAAGGCAGAGAAACUCUUUCAGAAGAAGGGACGUCCAGCAAAUUUGACCCAGGAUCCCAGUUAAAGAAAUGAGAUUUAGGCAGUUUCCUAUUUGGCUCAAGAAUGAUUGGGGUUAUGGUCCGGGAAUUGCAUCCUUAUACCUGUCACAUCCAUGGGUAUUAGUUGUACUCAUAGCUGCAUCUUUAUAACUCAUAAGUUACAUUUAGUUUGGGUAUUAGUUGUACUCAUAGCUGCAUCUUAUUCAUCGACAUCUCAUGGGUAUUAGUUGUACUCACCCUUUUUUUGGUAAUUCAAUUGUUUUUCACUACCUAAACAUUAUUUCAUUGUUCCUCUCAAUCUGUUUUGUCCAUCUCACAUGUGCAAUGUAAGCUCUUGCUUGGUUUGCAAUUUGGUUUUGUAUUUUUUUUUCUAUAACAGAUGCAUCAUCUUGCACAAUUUAAGAUCAUUCUCAAUGAUGUAGAGUAAAAGAAAGACAUUGAUGCUCCCAACUACCAAAGAAGCAUGACGAUGAUUGAUGAUAUGUGAUGGAUUUGCAAGAAAUGGAGCCUGAGUUCUACACCAAGAAUAGUAUAAAAUGUGUUAUUCUAAAUACAGUUGGUGGCUACUAUACCGCUCUAAAGGAUCACACUUAGGGAUGACACCCGCGCGGGACGGGGGCGGGGAGUGGCCCGCCAUCCCCGUCCCCGCAUCUCUCUUUUGUCCCCGUCCCCAUCCCCAUUUUCCACGGCGGGAUAAAUUUUCACCCCA